rnacentral:rRNA from 1 species
GGGAUUGCCCUAGUAACGGCGAGUGAAGCGGCAACAGCUCAAAUUUGAAAUCUGGCGUCAGCCCGAGUUGUAAUUUGUAGAGGAUGCUUCUGGGUAGCGGCCGGUCUAAGUUCCUUGGAACAGGACGUCAUAGAGGGUGAGAAUCCCGUAUGUGACUGGCUUGCACCCUCCACGUAGCUCCUUCGACGAGUCGAGUUGUUUGGGAAUGCAGCUCUAAAUGGGAGGUAAAUUUCUUCUAAAGCUAAAUACCGGCCAGAGACCGAUAGCGCACAAGUAGAGUGAUCGAAAGAUGAAAAGCACUUUGGAAAGAGAGUUAAAAAGCACGUGAAAUUGUUGAAAGGGAAGCGCCCGCAACCAGACUUUGCGGCGGUGUUCGGCUGGUCUUCUGACCGGUUUACUCGCCGCCGUGAGGCCAUCAUCGUCUGGGACCGCUGGAUAAGACCGGAGGAAUGUAGCUCCCUUCGGGGUGUGUUAUAGCCUCUGGUGAUGCAGCGCGUCUCGGGCGAGGUCCGCGCCUCGGCAAGGAUGAUGGCGUAAUGGUUGUCGGCGGCCCGUCUUGAAACACGGACCAAGGAGUCUAACAUCUAUGCGAGUGUUCGGGUGUCAAACCCCUACGCGUAAUGAAAGUGAACGGAGGUGGGAACUUUUUGUGCACCAUCGACCGAUCCUGAUGUCCUCGGAUGGAUUUGAGUAAGAGCAUAGCUGUUGGGACCCGAAAGAUGGUGAACUAUGCCUGAAUAGGGUGAAGCCAGAGGAAACUCUGGUGGAGGCUCGCAGCGGUUCUGACGUGCAAAUCGAUCGUCAAAUUUGGGUAUAGGGGCG